rnacentral:misc_RNA from 1 species
GUGAAUCAUCGAAUCUUUGAACGCAAAUGGCACUCUCUUCGGAGAGAAUGCCUGUUUGAGGGUCAGCCUAAAAAAAAACGACAGAGUUGAUGCUACGCGGUGACAUUCGUCGGAAAUUGGGUCAUCUUAAACCUUUGGGUUUUAAGCGGCUUAAAAUUUUCUUUACUAUUCCACUUAAGUUGCUAAGAUUUUACUUCUUAAACACUUUUAAGUAAUCUAUCUUUAUUAUACUGUGCCGUUACAUCGGAUCUCGUCCCUCAAUAUUUCGUUAACUG